rnacentral:sRNA from 1 species
CACCGCCUGGGGAGUACGACCGCAAGGUUAAAACUCAAAUGAAUUGACGGGGACCCGCACAAGUAGUGGAGCAUGUGGUUUAAUUCGAAGAUACGCGCAGAACCUUACCAACACUUGACAUGUUCGUCGCGACUUUAAGAGAUUAAAGUUUUCGGUUCGGCCGGACGAAACACAGGUGCUGCAUGGCUGUCGUCAGCUCGUGUCGUGAGAUGUUGGGUUAAGUCCCGCAACGAGCGCAACCCUCACUUUUAGUUGCCAUCAUUUAGUUGGGCACUCUGAAAGAGCUGCCAGUGAUAAGCUGGAGGAAGGUGGGGAUGACGUCAAGUCCUCAUGGCCCUUACGUGUUGGGCUACACACGUGCUACAAUGGUAUCUACAACAGGAAGCAAAACGGCAACGUUAAGCAAAUCCUUAAAAGAUACCUCAGUUCGGAUUGCACUCUGCAACUCGAGUGCAUGAAGCUGGAAUUACUAGUAAUCGUGGAUCAGCGUGCCACGGUGAAUGCGUUCCCGGGUCUUGUACACACCGCCCGUCACACCAUGGGAGUUGGUUCUACCUUAAGGCAAGGUUUUAUACCCUUGACCACGGUAUAGUCAGCGACUGGGGUGAAGUCGUAACAAGGUAGCCGUAGGGGAACCUGCGGCUGGAUUACCUCCUUUCUAAGGAUGAACAAAAUAAAAUUUUGUUCUAAAAAAUAUACACAGGUUAAUGUUGACCAUCCUCAUUUCUCUUCUUAGAUUCAGUGUUUCUCCUGCAUGGGGGCCGGUAGCUCAGUUGGUUAGAGCACACCCUUGAUAAGGGUGGGGUCGAAAGUUCGAGUCUUUCUCGGCCCACCAAUUAUAAGAUCAUGGGGGAUUAGCCCAGCUGGGAGAGCGCCUGAUUUGCAUUCAGGAGGUCAGCGGUUCGAUCCCGCUAUCCUCCACCAAACACUUAGUUAUAAAAAAUCGUAAAGAAUUAAUAAUUAAUAUCAAUAUCUAUAUCCGAACAUUAGAAAUGUUAUUAACUAAUGUUCAAAAUAAAAAUUUGAUUCAACACAGAAUUUUUUUCUG